UACAGAGACUGCAAGCGUUAUUCGGAUUCACUGGGCGUAAAGGGUGCGCAGGUGGCCAAGUGUGUUAGGCGUGAAAGCCCGGGGCUUAACCCCGGAAUUGCACCUAAAACUACUUGGCUAGAGCAUUGGAGAGGGGAGCAGAAUUCAUGGUGUAGCAGUGAAAUGCGUAGAUAUCAUGAGGAAUACCAGAGGCGAAGGCGGCUCCCUGGACAAUUACUGACACUCAGGCACGAAAGCGUGGGGAGCAAAAGGG
rnacentral:rRNA from 1 species